AGCUAAAGGAGUGUAGAGGGGCUCUUGGCUGGCUAAAGGCAAUGGCUGGUUGGCAGUGAGGAAGAGCUCCUGGCUAGCUACUGGGUCUGAAUGUAGAAGAGCCCUGAGGCGCCACAGAGCUCCUCAGGUCACAAGAAGCUCCAAAGCUUGUCUCUUCCACCAUCAGAACUUGGUCCAGUAAAAGAGAUUACCUCACGCAUCUUGUCUGUGUCUCCUCUUGGGACCAACCCAGCUACAACAACUCUCCUGAACUGGAUAUCCCAGAUCUUCUAGCAACUUCCUGAAGAUUUCACACUCUCAACGUUCAAAUCAUCUGCAUUUCUCUCAUCUGAAAGUAUGAGGAUCUAUUCAUUUCCACUUGAAUGUUAAAGAAAGGUGCUUUUUUUCCUCUUACCAACUGACAUGGCUGGUUCAGCUAGUGGGAUUUGCAUUAAUCCCUUCUAGAACACAACAGCCCUCUGGUCUCCUUCCAUCUGGAGAUGCAAUUUGGCCUAUUUAUUUGGUCUGCAAGUGUUGCUUUAGCACCAGAUUCAUUUAGAACCAGGGAAACUUAAAUGCUUACCUCCAUGUCUGUGAUGUUCUGCUGACUUGAUUCAGAUUUGCGACUAGCUGAACUACUUGAAG